GAUGAACGCUGGCGGCGUGCCUAAUACAUGCAAGUCGAGCGAACAGACGAGGAGCUUACUCCUCUGACGUUAGCGGCGGACGGGUGAGUAACACGUGGAUAACCUACCUAUAAGACUGGGAUAACUUCGGGAAACCGGAGCUAAUACCGGAUAACAUGUUGAACCGCAUGGUUCAACAGUGAAAGACGGUCUUGCUGUCACUUAUAGAUGGAUCCGCGUCGCAUUAGCUAGUUGGUAAGGUAACGGCUUACCAAGGCAACGAUGCGUAGCCGACCUGAGAGGGUGAUCGGACACACUGGAACUGAGACACGGUCCAGACUCCUACGGGAGGCAGCAGUAGGGAAUCUUCCGCAAUGGGCGAAAGCCUGACGGAGCAACGCCGCGUGAGUGAAGAAGGUCUUCGGAUCGUAAAACUCUGUUAUUAGGGAAGAACAAAUGUGUAAGUAACUAUGCACGUCUUGACGGUACCUAAUCAGAAAGCCACGGCUAACUACGUG
rnacentral:rRNA from 1 species